rnacentral:lncRNA from 1 species
CUUCACAUAAUGACAGCAAUUUCUCUGAACUAAAUGUUAAUUAAUAAGGCCUGUAAUACUAUGAGAAGGAAAUGGUGGCAAUUGGCAAAUGGAACUCUGUUGCUUGGUAACAAAACCUGAGAAAUAAUCAAAACCCUCUGCACUCACUCAGAAGUGUCCAUAAGUCCUGUUCAAGUAAUCUUAAAAGAGACUGUUCCAAUAUUCGAUCUGCCUCGUUCAACAAGGCAAAAAGGUGAGGAAGCAGAGAAUUAUUUUUGAAUGGCUACUGCUUAAAGAGUUGCCUGCGUGAGGUUUGGUGGCAAGAAGCAGAAGUCAGAGCCUGUGGUUCCUGUUGCUCUUCGGCGGUAUGAAAGAGAGAAGAAGGCGUGCUUCAUUAUAUGAAGCUUUGCUCCUAAGGCCAAGUCCUUUAACCUCAUGACCAUCCCAUUUCUGAACCCAUACAUUUUCCAGGAACUCUCAGUUUUUCACUGAGAACAGCAAGUGUGGCAAGAAUAAAGAGCACAACAGUUGCCGUGAAGGCCAUCCCCACCACGUGGGUGUUUCCUGAGUGAGAUGACUUGCACACACAGUGCCAGCUCUAGAGAGAAAAGGAAAAGAAGCAACUUACUAAAAAUAUUCCCAAGGCAAAGACAAGGAACUGUGCCUCCACUCCUUCCUUUAGCUUGUAAGUUGCUUUGGGGCCCUGGGUUGCGAUUCUUAACCCACAGUGGAUGUUAAAUAAAUAUUUGAUGGUGUUGAGGGCUUAAGUAAUGGUUUAUGUAAACAUCAAGAGCUGCUGCUCAGAACAUAUUCUCAUGGCACAAUACUAAAUUGACCAGAGAGAUUUCACUGUGGUGUGCCUCAGACUGUAGAAUAUAAGGAAGUCUCAUUAACUUGUCAAGUUGACAGAGUUUGGGAAUUUGUUUUGUUGUUGCAAACCCACUGUUUGCAAAAUGAGUAUUCUCAUAUAUGGUCAGUAGGUCUGUAAAAUAGCACAUGUAAGAAGGGCAAUUUGGCAAUACUCAUUAAAAGCCUUCAAAAUAAUAGUCUUGACUCAGCAAUUUCACUUCUAAGAAUUAAUCGUAAAGAAGCCAUCAUGGAGUUUGUAUGUAAAGAUUUAGCUAUAAGGACAUUGUUUGUAAGAGUAAAAAAUGGGAAGCAACAUAGUUAUCUGACAACAUGGGACUUGUUAAACAGAUUGUGGUACACUCCAGUUGAAUUCCAGGCUGGGCGCGGUGGCUCACGUCUGUAAUCCCAGCACUUUGGGAGGCCUAGGCGGGCAGAUCACCUGAGGUCUGGAGUUCAAGAAGAGCCUAGCCAAUAUGGCAAAACCUCGUCUCUGCUAAAAAUACAAAAAUAAGAAAAAUUAGCCGGGUGUGGUGGUGCGUGCCCGUAGUCCCAGCUACUCAGGAGUCUGAGGCCUGUGAUGGCUUGAACCAGGGAGCCGGAGGUUGCAAUAAGCUGACGUCACACCACUGAACUCCAGCCUGGGCAACAGAACAAGACUCC